rnacentral:rRNA from 1 species
CAGCAGCCGCGGGAAAACAGAGGGUGCAAGCGUUAAUCGGAAUUACUGGGCGUAAAGCGCGCGUAGGUGGUUCGCCAAGUUGGAUGUGAAAUCCCCGGGCUCAACCUGGGAACUGCAUCCAAAACUGGCGAGCUAGAGUAUGGUAGAGGGUGGUGGAAUUUCCUGUGUAGCGGUGAAAUGCGUAGAUAUAGGAAGGAACAUCAGUGGCGAAGGCGACCACCUGGACUGAUACUGACACUGAGGUGCGAAAGCGUGGGGAGCAAACAGGAUUAGAUACCCGUGUAGUCCCUGUCUCUUAUAC